GAAGGCGCUCUGCUGGGCCAUCACUGACGCUCAUGGACGAAAGCCAGGGGAGCGAAAGGGAUUAGAUACCCCUGUAGUCCUGGCCGUAAACGAUGAACACUAGGUGUCGGGGGAAUCGACCCCCUCGGUGUCGUAGCCAACGCGUUAAGUGUUCCGCCUGGGGAGUACGCACGCAAGUGUGAAACUCAAAGGAAUUGACGGGGGCCCGCACAAGCGGUGGAGUAUGUGGUUUAAUUCGAUGCAACGCGAAGAACCUUACCAGGGUUUGACAUCCUGCGAAUCUCUUGGAAACGAGAGAGUGCCUUCGGGAACGCAGUGACAGGUGGUGCAUGGCUGUCGUCAGCUCGUGUCGUGAGAUGUUGGGUUAAGUCCCGCAACGAGCGCAACCCACGUCUUUAGUUGCCAGCAUUCAGUUGGGCACUCUAGAGAGACCGCCGGUGAUAAACCGGAGGAAGGUGUGGAUGACGUCAAGUCAUCAUGCCCCUUACAUCCUGGGCUACACACGUACUACAAUGCUACGGACAAAGGGCAGCAAGUUCGCGAGGACAAGCAAAUCCCAUAAACCGUGGCUCAGUUCAGAUCGUAGGCUGCAACUCGCCUACGUGAAGGAGGAAUCGCUAGUAAUCGCAGGUCAGCAUACUGCGGUGAAUACGUUCCCGGGCCUUGUACACACCGCCCGUCACACCAUGGAAGUUGGCCACGCCCGAAGCCGUUACUCCAACCCUUGUGGAGGAGGACGUCGAAGGUGGGGCUGAUGACUGGGGUGAAGUCGUAACAAGGUAACCGUA
rnacentral:rRNA from 1 species